UGAGGUAGUAGAGUGCAGUAGUU
rnacentral:miRNA from 1 species